rnacentral:tRNA from 1 species
GGUGGCGUGCCCGAGCGGCCAGGGUGCGGCCUGCAAAGCCGUAGACGCGGGUUCGAGUCCCGUCGCCACCUCCA